AUGCCUCAUUAGGCCUGCUACUUCAGCAUAACCCAUAAGCAAGGUCCAGUUCUAGGGUAAAAAUUUGACAACAGAAUCAAAAUUAGAAGUCCUGAUUCCUUUAGGAAAAUCAAACAGCCUCUAAUAUAAGGUUGUAGCCUCUACAGGCAUAUUUGGUUUUUUUUCUUCUUUGAACUAAAUAUUUGGUUUUUGGGCUGAAUUAAUCGUGUUGGGCGUCAGAAGCCUAGGGUUCUACAUAACUCACAUAACUGACAUAAGAGAGCUAAACUCUACAAGAAAAACACCUAUAAAAACCUGUCUAAAUCUCAGAAGCUGCAAUAUUCAAUAGAUGAAUUAAUUUCAGCAGAAAUAAUUCUAAUCUCAUAAGGAAUGAGAGAUAUAUGGCAGGUGAAGAGCAUACGUCUAGAUCUUGUUUACAUUGCAUAGAAAUCAUUUUUAGAUAUGAUCCCCGGCAAUUGUUUACAGUAACAACAACUAGAUCUAGAAGAUCCAUGGCUGCAUUAAAAAAUCCACAACUAACAAGCGUCAGAAAAAUAUAACAAAAAUAGAAAGUUAAAACCCCAAUCAGAAGGAUAGAAGUGUAUGAUACUGUAAAACUUGAAAAUGAAAUUUGCACCACUAAAUAAAGGAAUCACAAGCUAUAAAAAAAUACCAUUACCUAAUCUCCAAACUACAACUCUAACUCCAAUUGUUCGUCAAUUAGGCCCACAACUAAACUAAUCCUGGCCUUAUGAGGGAAAAAAAAUAAAA
rnacentral:misc_RNA from 1 species